rnacentral:lncRNA from 1 species
GUUCAUAUAUUUUAAGAGUUAUUUUGAUGUGGAAAUUACACAAUACCCUAUUUUUAAAAUUUACAUUUCAUAAAACAUAUUUCAAGUUUCAUAUUUCAAAAUUCAGGUUAUAUUAAGAUUUAAUAUUGUAGUAAAUAAUAUAUUACUAAUUAAAUCAAUUCAUCCCCAAAUCAAUGAAGCCAUUGCCAUUGAUGAAAAUUCCCGACUCAAGGAUUGCCUUUACGAGAAAGACGAGGCCUUACUUUUUCUUACUCGAGAGAAUGAACGCCUUGGAAUUAAUGGGGCUUCUGCUCGUGAGAAUAUGAAUGAAUACACGAAGUUGCUUUCUACAGCAUCAAUAGAAUUGAAGAUUGAGGAUAAGGGGCAGUAUAUAAUGCUGAAUCCACCAGAUUCAGUGGAACAGGAACAUGGUGACGAGAAUAUGAACAAAACUUUCAGCUUCAAUCUUGAAGAUCUAAAGUUCAUGAAUGACCUAAAGAUGCAUAUGGAAAAGAUUUAGAUGAAAUCCCAAGAACGCAGAGCCCUCAAAAGGCUCAAUAUUUGAUGCUAAUGCUGAAACACCGAAGGCAGAGCCUCGUACACCACAAUCAGUUUCUUCGCAUCAGAGAUUAUAUUCUUCUCCCUUCACGGAUGAUGGAGGAACAUCAAAUUUAGAAGAUUUUGAUCAUUUAGACAGUACACAUGAUGAUUCAAAUAGUGAUAGAAAUUCCCACAGAAGGAGAACAAUGUUUCACCAGGUUGGAGAUCUCCUAAUGAUCACAAGAAGUUUCCACAACAAAAAACCAUCCACUGAGUAUCACAAAAAGGAAUCAUCCACUGAGAAUCACUAAAAGGAAUCAUUCGCUGCCACGGAGAAUCACAAUAGAAAUCCACUGAGAAUCAAAAAAAGGAACCAUUCAAUGAGUAGGACCUUGUUAUACAGCCUUGGCUGAACGGGAUAAAAUUAUUUUGGUAGUGUUAAUCUUCAUAUAAGUACAGGGAAAAUGUGUUCCACGAACCUAGAAUUACAAGUUUAACUUAGUUUCUA